CAAAAUCUUGUAAUAUUUUCUACUGCUUUAAUUUUUCAGUUGUUCAUCACACUCAGAUCAGCACAGAACAAACAAAUUUUUGUAUAGUUUCAAGUUCCUGUUUGGUUUCAGAAAUUUUACGGAUCGAAAAUGUGUGACCCUUGUGGAUCGUGCUGCGCUCCUUGCUGCGCUCCUUGCUGCGGUCCAUGCUGCGGCCCGUGCUGUGGUCCGUGCUGCGGUCCGUGCUGUGGUCCUUGCUGUGGACCCUGCUAUGGUCCCAAUGUCUGCGGACCGUGUGGCGCAACAGGACCCUGUUCAGGCUGCUUUGGCUGUUGCUGAGCAAUAGAAAUUACAAAUUCCAAACGACGGUCUAAACCUUCCAUCACAAGUCCGAUGAAACCUGCAGAAAGCUUGAAGCUAUUGUUUAGUCUCUACGAAUAAAGCAUUUACCAAUACAAGCAUUUCAAAAA